GUUUCGAAGCUGCAAAGUUUUGCAGACUACUGUACUUUGGAAGAUUUCUAGAUUUCAGUUCAAUUUUUGUAGUACCUUCCACAUUCAAUUUAUAUUUUGGUUGACCCCUAUUCUGACAGAGGAGACAAGCAUGGAUACAGUCGCAGUGAAAUACAAGGAGCGAGGGUAACCCUAGCACUACAAGGGUUACCCGCUAAGCAGGGUCAAUAGAUCACUGGUCUGGAUUACAAGGAAAAAAUUUAGGAAGCCCACCUAUGUUUUAUGUUCAAACGUGCGCAGCUACAAAAGUGAGUGUAGACGUAUCCGGGAACCCUGUGGCUCGUUAUCGUCUCAUCAUAAUCCUUACGGGGGUCCUGUGGCGUUGUGCUCUUGUCUUAGCAGUCAAGGUUAUUCAAUCCAAGACUCAAGUCGCAACCUCAAGUUAUAACUUUAAAUCCAACCUCGAAUCGACCCGUAAAAGAAAUAUGGCUGAUUAAGAUGGAUCGCUUACAGAUUACUUACUUCGCGCUAGCUUCGCCCACCCGUGUAACUGUCGCCAGGUGAUUAGCGCUUGCCCUGCACAAAGGUCGUGGCUUGGGCUGUGACGUCAGAUGAGCGAUAUGGAUUAGAGUUUAAAAUAUGGACUCGCGGACUACCUGUGGCUAAAAUG